GAUGAACGCUGGCGGCGUGCUUAACACAUGCAAGUCGAACGGAAAGGCCCAAGCUUGCUUGGGUACUCGAGUGGCGAACGGGUGAGUAACACGUGGGUGAUCUGCCCUGCACUUCGGGAUAAGCCUGGGAAACUGGGUCUAAUACCGGAUAGGACGAUGGUUUGGAUGCCAUUGUGGAAAGUUUUUUCGGUGUGGGAUGAGCUCGCGGCCUAUCAGCUUGUUGGUGGGGUAUUGGCCUACCAAGGCGUCGACGGGUAGCCGGCCUGAGAGGGUGUACGGCCACAUUGGGACUGAGAUACGGCCCAGACUACUAAGGGAGGCAGCAGUGGGGAAUAUUGCACAAUGGGCGCAAGCCUGAUGCAGCGACGCCGCGUGGGGGAUGACGGCCUUCGGGUUGUAAACUCCUUUCGCUAGGGACGAAGCGUUUUUGUGACGGUACCUGGAGAAGAAGCACCGGCUAACUACGUG
rnacentral:rRNA from 1 species